AAAUCGGUUCAUAAUUAACAACGAAAAAAUUACGUGUUCGUACGCUGACGGAUUCUUUACGCGUAAAUAGUUGUUAACUAUUAAGUGCAGGGUCGGACUAGUCUAUACUUUAGACUGGUGAUUACCAGUGAGGCAAUAUCUAUGUUAGAAUCGCUUUAAUUUUUUUUUUUUUUUUGGUUACUAAAUAAUACUAUAUGACUUAUAAGAGUCGAGAAAACGGACUGAGAUAUCACGUAAAUAUGUAUAAACAACAUUUCAAAUGACAAUGCAAUGCAAAAAAAUGUUUGAUGAAACCUAUAUGGAUGAGACAAAUAGUGCAUUUAUUGCAAACGCAUAGGUUUAAUGACUCAAAUGACAUUAUGCAACAGGAUAUAUUCUAAUGCGCCAUUGAAAGCUAUUUGCGUUAUUGAGAAUUAAUUUUGAGCUGUUUAAAAUUACUUUUCGCGCUAUUGAAAAACUAUUUACAUUUGAUCAUCAAAUUCAUCAAAUCAACAAUUCUGGUUGAACAAAACUGAAAUGCGGGUGAAAAAUACCAAUGAAGCAAAAAUAACAACCGUGGAUUAAAGGGACGUAUUUGAAUUAGUUAAUAACAUAAAUGAUCAAGAAGAAGGUGAAAAGCCAUUAAGUGUCAAAAAUCUAAAGUUUUGCAAAU